AGAACAAUUGUUGGGUCAUGUGAUAAGUACAUUUUUAGUUUUAUAAGAAACUGCCAAACUGUCUUCCAAAAUGGCUGUACCAUUUUGUAUUCCCACCAACAAU
rnacentral:pre_miRNA from 3 species